rnacentral:rRNA from 1 species
CCCUUAGAUGUCCUGGGCCGCACGCGCGCUACACUGAUGCAUUCAACGAGUUUUACCUUGGCCGAGAGGCCUGGGCAAUCUUUUAAACCUGCAUCGUGAUAGGGAUAGAUUAUUGAAAUUAUUAAUCUUGAACGAGGAAUUCCUAGUAAACGCAGAUCAUCAAUCUGCAUUGAUUACGUCCCUGCCCUUUGUACACACCGCCCGUCGCACCUACCGAUUGGAUGGUCCGGUGAAGCCUCGGGAUUGUGGUUCUUGCCGCUUUAUUGUGGCGUGACCGCGAGAACUUGUCUAAACCUUAUCAUCUAGAGGAAGGUGAAGUCGUAACA